rnacentral:rRNA from 1 species
UACGUAGGGUGCAAGCGUUAAUCGGAAUUACUGGGCGUAAAGCGUGCGCAGGCGGGUAUGUAAGACAGAUGUGAAAUCCCCGGGCUCAACCUGGGAACUGCAUUUGUGACUGCAUAGCUAGAGUACGGUAGAGGGGGAUGGAAUUCCGCGUGUAGCAGUGAAAUGCGUAGAUAUGCGGAGGAACACCGAUGGCGAAGGCAAUCCCCUGGACCUGUACUGACGCUCAUGCACGAAAGCGUGGGGAGCAAACAGG